GGCUGGCUGAUCCAUCUCCCCUGCCAGUCGGGGAAGGUCCCCUGUGUCCCUUUCCCAAGCCGGUUUACAUCUCCUGCUAGACAUAGCAAGCGGAUGGAGUGACAGUCCACACUGCGGGCCUCGAGACGAUAAAUACUAAACCUUCUGAAAAAAGCCCUACUUUCAACGAAGGGGAACAGGGCUUGGCAGGCUCUGGGAAGAAUUUGCUCCAGGAGCUGGCGCUCGGGAGGGCGUGGUGCCAAUCUGUGUGGGAGCCCUGCCUGCGGGCAGAGAGGGAGGGCCCACCAGGGUGUGCGCUGGUGCAGACGUGUUUGCAGGAAGCGGCCGGGUGGUGCAGACAUCCAGGGAGUCCUGGGCUAGGAGCUGGAUCGCCGGGGUUCUCUCUGCCACGUGUUAGUGCCGCGACCUUGGAGCUCAACCUCCCAAAGCUUCAGUUUGCCCAGCUGCAAAAUGGGGACGCUAAGAACCCCCCUCACACGUCUGUUAAGAAGAUCCAAGCAAAUGGAUGUGGGGGGGCUCCCAGGGACGAAGCAGGAGGCUGCUCUGGGGUUGGGGCUGGAGGAGUUGUCCUGCUCUCCUCGGGCCCUCUCUGGAGCUGGGGGCGUCAGGCAGUACUUGGUCUGGGGAAGGCCAGGACUAGCAGUUCCGAGCCCCUCUCCCGUGACUUCCUCCCUUGCCUCCUUGGCUGCCCAAAGCAGCACUAAAUCAGGUCACCACUUGUCUUGCCUUGCAGUAGCUGUCUUGCAGACAGCUCCUGCCCAGCUCCCAAUCCAGGUCACUGGCUCCCACACCCCUCCCUUCCCCAGCAGCCAAGGAGACGGCGCUCAGUGCUUUUGUUCUUAAGUGCUGCUCAUUAGACUCUGGCUGUGUGCCUGACACUGGGCCCAUCGCUUUAAGAAGAAAUAACAGGCCCCCUUUGCAGCACGCUCUAUCACGAGAUUCUCUCUCCCGUAGGGAGAUAGGAGCACUUCUAUUUUAUAAGUGAAGAAACUGAGGCUGAGAAAGCCUUCCAGCAAACCCACUGCUGCUCCCGCUGUUGCUUCUGGAAGACUGUCCUUAAAGAAAGGAAAGAACCAGAAGGAACUUCAAAGGCCUUCGCGUCCACCUGUUACCACUUCCACGGGCUGAGCUAGAACCCUCUGGCCACGGCUAUGGAAGAGUCAAGGACAGCUGGAAUCCACCCAACUUUUACCAAUAAUUCACCACCGUGAGACCUUGA